ensembl:piRNA 21ur-8519 ncRNA
UUUACAGUCAACCAAUAAUUA